GCUGGUGUAGCUCAGUUGGUAGAGCAGCUGAUUUGUAAUCAGCAGGUCGGGAGUUCGACUCUCUUCACCAGCUCCA
rnacentral:tRNA from 2 species